rnacentral:tRNA from 1 species
GCCUGGGUGGCUCAGUCGGUUGAGCGUCUGACUUUGGCUCAGGUCAUGAUCUCGCGGUCCGUGAGUUUGAGCCCCGCGUCGGGCU